AAGCCCCAGUGAUUCCUGGAUAGAACCAAAGAAGACAACGCAGGACAGAGCAGGUAUUGUUGGGUGUGAUUCUGCUUGGGAAUGCCCAUAGGAAGACAUAUGUGACACUGAUAAUGCAUUCAACAGUGCUGUCCAUUCAUCGAUUCAUCUUAUCUCAUGGAGUGCUUUCUAUAUCCAUUCCGGCACUAGCCUCACCCUCUGGAGCUUACAGACAAUGUCAGAAGAAUUUUUAAAUUUUAUUUACAAUAUAUAGUUACAGUGCUUGUGAUGUGCGAGGUGUUCCAAGCAUUUUCCAAACAUUAACUCCUUUAAUACUCUCCGUGUUCUUACAAAUUAGGUACAUUUGUCAUUCUUGCCAACAACAGAUGAAGAAACUGAGGCACCGAUGAGGUGUGAGAUCCAUGACAGUGGAGACUGUGCCUGGGAGUUUCUGAAAGGCCUCACAGAGAUGCCAUUUGCUGCGAGCAGAAUGAUAAGUGUAAGCCAUGCCUGCCGAUGUCUGGGAAGAGUUAGUGUGCCAGGGAGAAGGCACCACUGGUGCGGACUCAGGAAGAAGUGCAGACCUAAAAACAAGGCCAAGAGGGGCAGUGACUUUCCCAAGAUCACAGAGCUGGAACCCAGGUCUGCUUUGAGAGGUAUUCCACGCUACAUCCCACCCCUUCUUGUCAUUCUUUCAUCUCUAAGUUUGUGCAUC